CCUACGGGUGGCAGCAGUGGGGAAUAUUGCACAAUGGGGGCAACCCUGAUGCAGCAACGCCGCGUGAGUGAUGACGGCCUUCGGGUUGUAAAGCUCUGUCUUCAGGGACGAUAAUGACGGUACCUGAGGAGGAAGCAACGGCUAACUACGUGCCAGCAGCCGCGGUAAUACGUAGGUGGCCAGCGUUGUCCGGAUUUCAUGAGCGUAAAGGGAGCGUAGGCGGACGUUUAAGUGAGAGGUGAAAUACUGGGGUGCAACCUGAGUGCUGCAUUUCAAACGGGAAGCUUGGAGUGAAGGAGAGUAGAAGGGAAGUCCGGGGGUAGCGGUGAAAGGCGUAGGGACUAGGAAGAAAACGAUUGGCGAAGGCGAUUCUCUGGACUGUAACGGA
rnacentral:rRNA from 1 species